CUCUGCCUCUCCCCCUGCUUAUGCUCUCUCUCUCUCUCAAAUAAAUAAAUAAAAUCUUAAAAAGAAAAAUAUUACCAUGGUUACCUAAGUGUACAGCGAAUAGUCACCUGGUAGUCCUUGUGAUCAGAGCAUGUAAAACAAUGCAAUUUCAAAGUCAGCUUGCAUAUUUUGAAAAGAAAAUAGAAUAACCUAUGUGGCAUGAAAUAUUUAAUUGAAUUUUUAUUGAUUUAUAUUAUGAUCAAAUGUGCUGAAUUAUUUUUGAUGUGUGUUUUUUGUUUUUAGCUUUUGACAUAUACAUAUUAGUUGCUUUUGCUUCUGUCAACUUAUUUCUUAAAUAGAUUUGGAGAAACUUUUUUUAAAUGAUAAAUAUUCAGUCAGCAUCAGUUGAAAAGGAAAGUGUAAGCUUUAUUAUAGAAGUGAUAAUAUUGGAUAUGAGAGAUUAGCUUACUUCUAUUUUAACUGUAGUUAAAACAGUAGUAGUAGAAAACUGAGUGAGGAGCAUUUUUCUCGCUUAUUUGUAGAGUAACAAAUGAUUAAAAAUUAUGUAAGUAAUUCCAUUUGGGUAAUUUACAGUUGUUAGAUUUGACAAUAAAAAUCCAUGAAAGGAGCAAAGUUUAUGGUUUUAGGAUGGAAGGAAUUUCUCAAAGAAAUACAAAACAUACUUUGCCCUUGAUGUUGCAGAACCAUUGAAAUAAGUGCCUUAACUUCUGUUUACUUUUUAUUUUUCAAACAAAUAUUAUGGGCUUUUUCCUUUCUGUAAGAAGAUUUUGGUAUCUUUUUCCUCAUCAUUAAGCACAGAGGAAGACUCCUCACUAUGCUACUUUCAGUAUUAACUUUAAUUCAUUAAUAAGCAAAUCUUUGGUAAGGGUACCAGUGGGAUUUCUAGCCUGCUAAAUUUAUUGAGCUUCCCAAAUGCCAAACAGUCCAACAAAUAAAACUUAAUUGAUAAGGUAUAUGAUAUUGACUCUGUGCUAGUUUAUAUUUUUUUCCAACUUUGGCACCUAUAACUUGGUGCUUUUUGUUAGACCAGUAGGAUUUUACAGCCUAGGGAGUAUGCAUUGUACUUCAGAACUAACUUUUUUCUUCAUUACUUUUUGUGUACAUAGACGAGGAUAGACAUAUAUAAAAACAGCAUGUUUUUUCAGGACAUUAACCCAAACCGCCAGUAGCCUCACUGUGGUGGCCCUCUUCCAUGUACUCCAGAUCGACUCAAGGAGAAGCAGAAAUGGAGGUCAAAGUGUGUUACAAGUUGGGGCUGGAAAAUAUGCUUUAAAAAAGUAGGUUAUUAAUUUCUUGAAGGGCACAGUGAAUAGCCAUCUUACUAAACUGUUUUGUUUUUGAAAAAUCACUUGUUUUUUUGUCCUUUCUAUUUUUGAACUGUUAAAACAUUGCCUUUAGUGGAUAGAUAAAAGCAGUGCCUCUCUUUAUAAAAUUGAUGGGGUUUCUAAAAGUUCUAUGUAAGUCAAUCUUUUUGGUAAAUUUAUUUUAAAUGCAUGAAUAUUUAAAGAUCACAUGUUAUGGAUUAUUCUGUAUAUUUAAGAACCUUUUGUAAAGCAAAUAACUACUUCCUAAUUUACAUCCCAAUAUAUUCUUUCUUCAUUUGUCCACUUUUUAAAAUAUAUAGGCUCUAUUGUUGCUAUUUGCUAAUAGUUUUAGAUCCCAAUAUGUAUUGAAAUUACAAUUUUUGAAAAGUUGCAAGUAAAAUUGAACAAUUUCUUAUUAAAAUAAUAACUCAUUAUUAACUUUUUGAAUGUUUAGAGUUAACACUUUAAAUAAAAUUAGAUGUGAAACUUGCAAAGAAUAUAUUUGACUCAACUAUUUUCCAUCCAUUAAGGUUUCUAAACAUUAUACUUACUUGUUUUCUGUAAUAAAAAGGGUCAUUUAAGCACCAGAUUUGCCAAAUUUACCAUAAGGUCAUCUUUGAAUUGUUUGCUUAUGUCCCUUAGAAUUGACAACAUUUUGCCUGACUUCUGUAAUCCUGUGUGCAGUUCUAUGAGAGAUACCCUGAACAUCUGGCCACAAUAUUUAGUGGAUUAAUGGUAUCAGAUAGAAACAUG